UACGGGGGGGGCAAGCGUUGUUCGGAAUUACUGGGCGUAAAGGGCUCGUAGGCGGCCGCUUAAGUCAGACGUGAAAUCCCUCGGCUCAACCGGGGCACUGCGUCUGAGACUGAAUGGCUUGAAUCCGGGAGAGGGAUGCGGAAUUCCAGGUGUAGCGGUGAAAUGCGCAGAUAUCAGGAAGAACACCCGUGGCUAAGGCGGCUCUCUAGUACGGUACUGACGCUGAGACGCGAAAGCGUGGGGAGCGAACAGG
rnacentral:rRNA from 1 species